AGGAAGCCUGUGCGUCAGUGAGGCCUCAUGUUUUUCCACAACGUCAAAAUCAACCCGCAAGAUAUUUGAAGGUAUUUUCUCGUUUUUGGACCGUUUUGUCGCAGGAAAAGUUCUCUGAACUUGCUAAGCAGAGUGCCCGAUUUGUUUAGGGUGCAGUGCAGUCGUAUGUCGAUAAAGCAAAAAAAAAGAAAUUGUUAUAAACUACGGUGGAUGCUGUGAACAGCCGCGACGCGAAGGCACGCUCGUGCAGGAACCACAGGGCUGCGUUGCCACCCGCCUGUCAACCAAUCCUCACGCAAGGAGUGGCCGUUGCGCUUUCGCCGAUGCAAUUUAAUACAGCUAAGCUGGCGCAAUAUUGUUUCCAAUACCACUUUAACGUGCCGAAACAGUACAGGGGCUGGACGCCUUAUGUAUAGUAAAAGGCUCCGCAUCAAUUGGCCCCGGUUUUCAUCGCUUAGCCAGUUAAAGUGAGGCAGGCACGAGCGUCCUUAUAUCUUUUUCCUCAUUCCGCUCUCGUAGCAAUGCGGCAGUCGCGAUCAGGAAUAGGCCCUCGUGCUCAGCAAAGUGCAUAUUCAGAGGCACUGGGCCCUCCCCCCUCCGGGGGGGGGGGGGUGGUCUGACAAUAGUGACGCAGUCUUAAAACAUCGAAAAUUCGCAUCUGCCAUCGCCCACGACACCUACUAUGCAGGACUCGUGACACCAGCCUAGCCCAGUUUCAGAGGGACCAGUCCCGUCAGUGGCGAAAUGCAAGCAGUGACGUUCCGCGCGGUAUUUCCGGACGAUGCCUCGCCUACGCUUCUCGGAACAGCAGCGGGUCACAGGCUGAUGCCUGGUGUAGGACUACAGCGGUGCCUACUACAUCACUGUCAAGCCUGCAGCUUGCGUGAUCUGGUCUGGCCGAUGUAUUGUGAAAUUUGCAACACAGAUGAUCAACUACAGGAGCUUGCUCCAACGGACAACAAGGUCUCGGAUACAAGGGCAAAAGGCAGAUGUGCUCUACCUGGCGAAAGAAAAGGAGAAACUAUUUCGCCAUCGAGGCUACGGGGCCGUCGCAGGGAAGCCAAAAUUUGUGGCUAUGAAAAUGCGGAUACGUGACACCCUUGUACGAGAUCCGGCCGCAGCCUCGUGGCGAUUUUACAACCGUCCGUUCUGCCCAAGGCGCGC